UGAGGAAUAUUGGGCAAUGGGCGCAAGCCUGACCCAGCAAUGCCGCGUGAAGGAUGAUGGUCUUCGGAUUGUAAACUUCUUUUAUCAAGGACGAAUAAUGACGGUACUUGAAGAAUAAGCCACGGCUAACUACGUGCCAGCAGCCGCGGUAAUACGUAGGUGGCAAGCGUUAUCCGGAUUUACUGGGUGUAAAGGGCGAGUAGGCGGGUCUGCAAGUCAGGUGUGAAAUGCAGGGGCUCAACCCCUGAGCUGCAUUUGAAACUGUAGAUCUUGAGUGAUGGAGAGGCAGGCGGAAUUCCCGGUGUAGCGGUGGAAUGCGUAGAUAUCGGGAGGAACACCAGUGGCGAAGGCGGCCUGCUGGACAUUAACUGACGCUGAGGAGCGAAAGCGUGGGGAGCAAACAGG
rnacentral:rRNA from 2 species